rnacentral:tRNA from 1 species
AAAAAGAUAAGCUAAAAAUUAAAGCUGUUGGGCUCAUACCUCAAAUAUGAAUUUUAUUCUCUUUUUA